rnacentral:lncRNA from 1 species
GUCUGCGCAGAUCUGCGCAGCCGUGAGGACGGUUCAACACUGCUGCUGGAGAGAGAGACGGCCCAGCGGCUGCAGCUGGAGCAGCAGCUCAGAGAGACGGUGACGGAGAUGAUGACGCUGCAGGCCAAGAGCGACUCGGAGAGAGCCGAGCUCAACAAACGGCUUACGGAUGCCGUGAGAGAGCUGGAGCGUCUCAAAGCUCGUGUGGAGGACAGAGAACAGGAAGUCACAACACUCAACAGGAAACUACAGGAUCAGAGGAGUCUUGAGGAGACUGAAGUUCAUUCACUGAAGAAACACACUGCAGCACUGCAGAACACACUCAGAGACAUCACACAGGUACAACACACACACACACACACUCUCACUCACUCACUCACUCACUCACU